rnacentral:rRNA from 1 species
ACGGGGGGUGCGAGCGUUGUCCGGAAUCACUGGGCGUAAAGGGCGCGUAGGUGGCGUGAUAAGGGUGUGGUGAAAGCCCGGGGCUCAACCCCGGGUCUGCCAUGCCGACUGUCAGGCUGGAGUACUGUAGGGGCAGGCGGAAUUCCGGGUGUAGCGGUGGAAUGCGUAGAGAUCCGGAAGAACACCGGUGGCGAAGGCGGCCUGCUGGGCAGUGGCUGACACUGAGGCGCGACAGCGUGGGGAGCAAACAGGA